GUGAGGAAUAUUGGUCAAUGGGCGCAAGCCUGAACCAGCAACGCCGCGUGGGCGAUGAAGGCCUUCGGGUCGUAAAGCCCUUUUCUGGGGGAAGAGGAAGGACUGUACCCCAGGAAUAAGUCUCGGCUAACUACGUGCCAGCAGCCGCGGUAAAACGUAGGAGGCGAGCGUUAUCCGGAUUUACUGGGCGUAAAGCGCGCGCAGGCGGUUCUGUAAGUUGGACGUGAAAUCUUUCGGCUCAACCGGGAGGGGCCGUCCAAUACUGCAGGACUUGAGGUCGGGAGAGGGAAGUGGAAUUCCCGGAGUAGUGGUGGAAUGCGUAGAUAUCGGGAGGAACACCAGUGGCGAAAGCGGCUUCCUGGCCCGCACCUGACGCUAAGGCGCGAAAGCGUGGGGAGCGAACGGGAUUAGAAACCCUAGUAGUCC
rnacentral:rRNA from 1 species